rnacentral:snoRNA from 1 species
UUACGCGAUGAAAAAGAGCAACCUGCUCGAUAACCCAGCUCGUCGAGGCGGGAGUAACGCCCCAAAGCCUUUGAGAUUAUUUUUUCUCUGACUCAAUUAUUCAUCCUUGUUGAGGUAAACCUGACAUACUUUUCGUUCAGAUUGA